rnacentral:tRNA from 1 species
GGACUGGUGGCGGAAGUUAACGCACGGGAUUGCAACUCCUGGUUUCCUGGUUCAAGUCCAGGCCAGCCCUCCA